GCAGUGCACAGACCCAGCGCUGGGGAUGGCACAGGAGCACUGACUGCUCCGAGCCUCUCCUUCCCUGCUCCCGCUCCUUCCACACCCCCACGGCACAGCUCCCCAGGAGUGCAGCUCUCCCUGUCCUGCCGUCCAGCCCGCGUUUGCUGCCCGCUGCUGCUGCUGCUGCUGCUGCUGGAAGUGCUCCUGGGGCCUCGUGCCGGGAACAGCUGGAAAAUCCCACGUUAUGAGGUACUUCCCUAAAAACAGAGCUUUGGAGUGACAGAAGCCAGCCAAGGCCCUGUCGGCCCAUGAGAGAGGCAAGCAGAAAAUGGGGUGCUCUCUGACCCUCCAGGGACACAGACCAGAGCGAGGGGAUUUUGCUUUAUGCCAUCGGAUGAGGAGGAAGGACUGGUCACUCCAAGGAAAACAUGCUGGGUCCCAGAGCUGGAAAACCACCCACAGGACAGAAACCUGCAGCGAGGCUCCUUUCCAAGGGCAGAACCCUCUGCAGCACUGCGGUUCCACAGGGACUGUUACAUCAACAGCCCUUAACAGCGAGGAUCCACGUUCCAUCCUGCAACACACCUCGUCCUGGAGGGUUUUUCCACAAGCAAAUGGGAAAGAAAAACACCAGGGCAGGUGCUUUUAACAACACGUGUGGAGUGAAGAGGCCAAAUUCAUUUCUGCAGUGUCUUAAUUAGCGACUCGCUGGUGACCUUGACUGAACCACCACCUCCUGCUAUUCGUGCAACUUUUGGAAAAGCAGGUAUCUCCACCUGAGACGGCCCCAAGAGCUCCUCCUGUACACAGAGGGGAAAGAUUUACUCUCAAGGCACAGUUCAUCCAACCAAAAGGAGACAUUGCUUUGGAAUAACAUCAGCUGGUCUCCUCCUCCUGGGGAUCAGCUCAGGGUGCCUAAAUCAGAGCACCCCGAGCACUCAGUCGGUGCACUGUGAGCAGUUACAACCACAGCCCUCACCUUCCUUACCCCAGGCCUGCAGGAAGUGUCAGGCAUCUCACACAGAGGGUUUAUGAAGUGUUACUAUCUCAGCCCAAACCCCAACCCCGCAGUGCAAAGACAAAGACAUGAGCAUGUAAGGCCACUUGUUCUUCCAAGGCCUCCGAGCCAGGCAACUGCCUGCAAAUGCAUUUUAAUGUCUGUGUUCCCUGCAGACAUAACUCCAGGACAGCGACACAAGUUCCAGGAUGUUUCUUAUUCCAGGAAACUCUUCGUUUCAGCCACAACCAAGUCUUCCAUAUAAUUUAAUAACUGUUAUAUUGAUUUCUCCUAAAUCACCACAGCUCUGUGUACCGAAGCACUUCUAAAAAUUAAUACUUUUUUUAAGAGCGGGGUAAUUUCUCCUUCUGUUUUAACAAGGAAGAUUAACAGGAGAUUGCAAGGGGCUGGUGGUGAGGAGAGGGCUGGUUUAUGAUUAACAUGUAGGGUCAGGAGCCCCCAUCCAGCACAAACAGGGCUGUAACUGCACCUUUACACCAUUACUGCAGGUGACUCUGCCCAGGAGCAGCCAAUUCCCCCUGCCCCACAGGAAAAAAAUCCAUCUGGCCUGACCUCCUUCCUCCAGGCCAAUAAUUCAUGUUUUAAGUAGCCCUGAGUUCCUGCCACAGGAGGUUCUGCAGAGCCCCUCACACACCCACCGUGCCCCCAGCGUCUCCUCCUCCCCUGGAGCUGCUCCCUCUCCCACUCACCCUCCCAGGUUUAUUUCUCAGUGUUCCUCAGGGCAGAUGAAGUCAGCAGAUGAGGUUUCUGUGUGUUCAGCAAAGUCCUGGAGCCACAAGUCACACGAAAUUAAGCAAAGGGAACACAGACUAUCAGCAACAGGCAGGGCCAUCAGAGAUAACAGGGGGCUCAGAGGAACUGGGCAGAGUCUGUGCUUUCAGUAAUCCUAAACUGCCCAGAACAGUGAAGUUAAAGAAAAAUCCAUGGUGGCCAAGAACAGCAGGUAUUACAUGGCAGGAAUGCUCUCCUAGAGCAGCGUGCUCUGCCUUCACAAGGCUCUGGGGACAGACACAGCUCAUGCCCCUGGGAGGGGCAGCACAGGCCAGAGAAUAAGUUAAGGCCUCGUGGGUUCAGUGCUUUACUGUGGCAGUUAACAGCUCUGACAGGGUAAGCACUGACAUGGGAGAAGUGCCUUUGCAGAAUUACUGCCCCCGAGCACUGGAUCCCAAGUCAGCAGCACCUGUGGCUGGAGGAAUAAUCAGCAGGAAGGGAGGGAAGCAACGGAAACCGAAUCCUGCUUCUCUCAGGACUGUGAUUUCUAAGGACACGUGGGCAGUCAGUAGACUUUUCCAUGAGGAGAUGGCACCACAUGGUUGGGAUGAGACUCUGGCUGAAGACAUUUCCCAAGACCAGAAACGCUGUCAGACCCCAGCAUGGCCUCCCAGAACUAUUUUCUGAACCUCCGCUCAAGCCACUUGUUUAUAUAAAAAAUGCCAAUAGAUCGGCAAGGAUGAAUCACCCAGGAGCAAGCCAGAACCCAAAAAUACUGGGGAGGAAACAAGUUCAAGUUCACAUCAGGCUGUUCUGGCCGUGCAGAGAAGGACCUUCCCCGUUCACUGAGGGGAAUGAUCCAACUGAAGAGAAAUUCCCAGAGCCAUUAGAAAACGUGGCAACUCCCACUCUCAGCAUCCCCGGGUCAGCAAAGGAUUUGCACUCUGCAGGUGCAGCUGAGGACCCCCAAAACAAAACAUGGAUAGAUGGGGGGAGCAAAUGCCAAUGCUGGAGGGAAAAGGUGCCAGCCUUCCCACUCUCCAAACCCUCCCAGCACAGCCACCAACAGAAAAGGUUUGCUACACAAAUGCCUCAGAGUCAUCAAUCACUUGCUCUUUAGACCUAUUAAAUCCCUUUUCAGUAUUCU